UACAGAGGGUGCGAGCGUUAAUCGGAUUUACUGGGCGUAAAGCGUGCGCAGGCGGCGCGUUAAGACAGGUGUGAAAGCCCCGGGCUUAACUUGGGAAUUGCGCUUGUGACUGGCGUGCUGGAGUGUGGCAGAGGAAGGUGGAAUUCCACGUGUAGCAGUGAAAUGCGUAGAGAUGUGGAGGAACACCGAUGGCGAAGGCAGCCUCCUGGGCCAACACUGACGCUCAGGCACGAAAGCGUGGGGAGCAAACAGG
rnacentral:rRNA from 1 species